UACGAGGGGAGCAAGCGUUGUUCGGAUUUACUGGGCGUAAAGGGCGCGUAGGCGGCGUGACUAGUCACUUGUGAAAUCUCCGGGCUUAACUCGGAACGGUCAAGUGAUACUGUCAUGCUAGAGUACAGAAGGGGCAACUGGAAUUCUCGGUGUAGCGGUGAAAUGCGUAGAUAUCGAGAGGAACACCUGCGGCGAAGGCGGGUUGCUGGGCUGAUACUGACGCUGAUGCGCGAAAGCCAGGGGAGCGAACGGG
rnacentral:rRNA from 1 species